AUUACUUUUUAAUACCAUUAUUUAUAAUGAACCCUUCAUUCCCACUGAAUAUUUCUAUAAAAUUAUAGAACCUUUUAUGUUGAAACUAGUAACAAGAAGUUAAACUUCUCCUAAAUAUAAGUAUAAGUCGACUAGGAUAAACCAUCGACAAUUAACGCUAAAAUUAAAUAUAUUAACCCCGCAAGAAAAACUUACAUUAUUCCACGUUAAUCUUACACCAGAAUAUUUAAGGAAAGAUUUAAAAAAAAGGAAGGAACUCGGCAAACAUUAACCCCGCCUGUUUACCAAAAACAUCGCCUUCUGAUAUACUAUAGAAGGUCCAGCCUGCCCAGUGAAUUAAUUUAACGGCCGCGGUAUCCUAACCGUGCGAAGGUAGCGUAAUCACUUGUUCUUUAAAUGAGGACUAGUAUGAAUGGCACCACGAAGGUUAUACUGUCUCCCUUUUUUGAUCAGUUAAACUAAUCUUCACGUGAAGAAGCGUGAAUAAACAUAUAAGACGAGAAGACCCUAUGGAGCUUAAAAUUACACAACAAUUGCUAAAAAUCUUAAAUUUUAUGAAUAACUUUUUACUAAACACCAUGAUUGCUAAUUUUUGGUUGGGGUGACCGCGGAGUAAAAAUUAACCUCCACAAUGAAAGAAAUUAAUAUUCUAAACUAAGAGCUACAACUCAAGGUAUUAAUAUUUUAACAUUCUUUGAUCCAAUUAUUUGAUCAACGAACAAAGUUACCCUAGGGAUAACAGCGCAAUCUACUUUAAGAGCUCCUAUCGACAAGUAGGUUUACGACCUCGAUGUUGGAUCAGGGUGUCCUAGUGGUGCAGCCGCU
rnacentral:rRNA from 1 species